rnacentral:tRNA from 1 species
CAGGAGGUAGUUUAAUUGAAAAUAUUAGUUUUGGGAACUAAUGAUAAGGAAAUUCCUUUCUCUUGA